rnacentral:rRNA from 1 species
AUUGAACGCCGGCGGCAGGCCUAACACAUGCAAGUCGAGCGGCAGCGGGAAAGUAGCUUGCUACUUUUGCCGGCGAGCGGCGGACGGGUGAGUAAUGCCUGGGAAAUUGCCCAGUCGAGGGGGAUAACAGUUGGAAACGACUGCUAAUACCGCAUACGCCCUACGGGGGAAAGCAGGGGACCUUCGGGCCUUGCGCGAUUGGAUAUGCCCAGGUGGGAUUAGCUAGUUGGUGAGGUAAUGGCUCACCAAGGCGACGAUCCCUAGCUGGUCUGAGAGGAUGGUCAGCCAAAAUGGAAGUGAGACACGGUGCAGACUCCUACGGGAGGAAGCAGUGGGGAAUAUUGCACAAUGGGGGAAACCCUGAUGCAGCCAUGCCGCGUGUGUGAAGAAGGCCUUCGGGUUGUAAAGCACUUUCAGCGAGGAGGAAAGGUUGAUGCCUAAUACGUAUCAACUGUGACGUUACUCGCAGAAGAAGCACCGGCUAACUCCGUGCCAGCAGCCGCCGUAA